GUCAAUACAAAUUCAGUCUGAAAUUUUUGUUGCUGUUUUUAGAAUAGUGGAGUAGUACAAUAACGUGCGUUUCUUUGUUUCCUUUGUAUGGAGACUAGGUGUUAAUCGACUGUUACGUGACCAGUGUUCUUGAUGGUUUCGGGUGACGAUUCAAAUGGUCGUUUAUCGCGUAAAACAACGAGGUCCCCGAACCGAAAGUCGAAGAAGGCUGAUGCGGACCUAGCGAAGGGGUCUGCGUUGCGAAAUGACCCGCCGCCUUCUGUUCACAAGAGGAACCUUUACGUUGUUUCUUUUCCCAUUAUUAUACUUUUUAAUGUUCUAAGAUCAUUGCUUUAUCAGUUAUUUAUAGUGUUUAAGUAUUUGUAUUCGGCGUCUCAUCGUUUUAUGCGUAAACCGUGUAAGAAUGGUGAAUAUAACCUAGAGGUGGUAGUGAAGGACGGAGCGGUGUCGACGGAGAUCGCGGGCGAGAUGGCGUACAGCCACAAUGUGGGGCCGGGGGACCCACUGCUGGCCAAACAGAAACAUCACCAUCGGAAAGCUUUUGAGUACAUAUCAAAAGCUUUGAAGAUUGAUGAGGAGAAUGAGGGUCAGAAAGAGCUAGCAAUAGAACUCUAUAAGAAGGGCAUCUAUGAACUGGAAAGAGGCAUUGCUGUGGACUGCUGGGGCGGCCGCGGCGACGCCUGGCAGCGCGCGCAGCGGCUGCAUGACAAGAUGAAGACCAAUCUCGGGAUGGCUAAGGACAGGCUGCAUUUUCUUGCUAACCUAGUCGCGCUCAGUCAGUUGGGCGUCGAAGAGAGGAGCGACAAAGACAAAAAAGCGGAGUCCCCUGUUAAGAGGAGGCCUUUAGAAAAGGCUAAGACGACGUUACUCGCCCAUACUGAAAGUAACAGUGGUCAAACGAAGGCAACGAGUGAAGUGGCAGGCCGUAAGCUGACAACAGGCGGCCGGCGGCUGCCCAGCGGCUCCGGGCCUUUAAUGAAGUCCCAGACAUUACCACGAUCCAUGGGUCGGUCGUCGUCUCAACCAAACAGCUCAACAUAUACCCGAUAUCCGGUGAAACCUGCCUCAACACCGCCUGCAGUGAAGAGGCAGUUAUCGAGCGCGUAUCAGGUCCCAGUCAACGGAUCCCCAGUACGGCGCGCAGUGGGAUCCAACCGAGGGACUCCGACACGAAGUCGGACACCGCAGCAGACGCUCACGGUCCGGGGCGUGGAUCCGAAGCUGGUGCAACUGAUACUGGAUGAAAUUGUGGAGGGAGGGCCGAAGGUGCAGUGGGAUGACAUCGCUGGGCAGGAGGCAGCAAAGCAAGCGCUUCAAGAAAUGGUAGUGUUGCCUUCUCUAAGGCCAGAACUAUUCACGGGCCUCCGGUCGCCGGCCAAAGGGUUACUGUUGUUCGGACCUCCGGGGAAUGGGAAAACCCUACUCGCCCGAUGUGUGGCCGCAGAAUGCUCAGCCACAUUCUUCUCUAUAUCAGCCGCCACUCUCACCAGCAAGUACGUGGGCGAUGGAGAGAAAAUGGUGCGAGCGCUGUUUCAAGUGGCCAGGGAAUUACAGCCCUCAAUAAUAUUCGUGGACGAGGUAGACUCGCUGCUCUGUGAACGGUCAUCGAGCGAGCACGAAGCCUCGCGACGGCUCAAGACGGAGUUCCUCGUGGAGUUCGACGGUCUGCCAGCCGCAGGCGCCGACCGGCUCAUUGUGAUGGCCGCUACUAAUAGACCGCAUGAAAUAGAUGAAGCCGCGCUCAGACGUUUCCCCAAGCGAGUGUACGUCUCACUCCCCGACGUACGGACGCGCGACCAGCUGCUUCGCGGGGUCCUAGCGCGGGGUUCAGCAGCGGCGGCGCUGACGCCCGAGGAGCUGUCCCGACUAGCGGCGCUCACGGACGGGUACUCGGGGAGCGACCUCACCGCGCUGUGCCGGGACGCCGCGCUGCAGCCCAUCAGAGAACUUGACCCUGAGGAGGUGAAAUGCUUGGACCUGUCGCUAGUGCGGCCAAUCACGUUCCAGGACUUCAUGGACGCGUUGAAACGGAUCCGUCCGUCCGUGUCGCCGCACAGCCUAGUGGGGUACGAGAAGUGGUCCGUGCAAUAUGGAGAUCUCGGGCUAUGAACCGAUACAGGUAAAUUGAACCUUAGUGCCUUAUGAUAAGUCUGAAUUUCGGUAUAACAUGGACGCGUUGAAACGGAUCCGUCCGUCCGUGUCCCCACACAGCUUAGUCGGGAACGAGAAGUGGUCCGUGCAAUAUGGAGAUCUCGGGCUGUAAACCAAUACAGGUAUUGUCAAGGUUGAAUAAACAAAGGGUGAGUCAGUAAUUGUAAGCAAGUACGAGACAACACUACGCUCAAAUAUUAAACUUUCCACUCGAAUAUUCCCUCAUAGUUCUAUUGACGUUUUAUGUUUAUUCUGAAUGUCAUCUAGUCAGAUUUCAACUGUCACUGACAUGUUUUAAACGUGUAUAGAAAUAAUGUCGUUUAGGCCCUUUUAUAAUUCACUUUAACACAAGGACUGUUGUUUGAAAUAAUAAUAUUUGUACUGGAGUCCCACGGGUCUCAAUUUGUCAGAAAAGCGACCUUGAUGUUUACAAUUUAAUUUUUAUUGUCAUUUGUGACGCUAAGAUAUCGCGUCCGUGGGACUCAAGGGAGCUACAUUAAAAAAAUGAUCCAAAUUUAUUACCUGGAGAUUUUUUUUUACCUUGAGGCUCGAGCUAUUGGCUUAUUUGACGGUUUUCAUAUGUAAAAUAGUUGAAAUAUUUGGACUCACGAAAGGUCACGUUUACGCGUCGCAAGUAGCCAAUAUAAUUUGUUAAAUUGGUUUUGUUUUUAAAACAUAGAAGAACAAGUGUUACGAGUUUAAUGUGACGCUGAAAGGGCUUAAAAGACUAAUUAAGACAUUUAUACCAAUCCUCAAAUAUACUUGCCAUUAAAACUGUCGAAUAAAACGCAACUGUGGGGUUAGCUUGUACCAUUCUCGUAGGAAGAAAUGGGAAAACGAAUUUUAGUAUGGUGAAUAUAAGACAUCUUCUUGAGUGACUUUGGAUUUCAUUAAAUGCAUAAAAAAUGAUGUGUAAAAUAAAGUUUCUCGUUGUAGUAUGGAAAAAAUAAUGUAUCAAAGUUGUAAAUGUGUUGUUUUGAAAGUGUAAUAUUUUUAAACGGUACUUGCUAUCCUUACAGUUUUAUAUUAAGUCUUAAAAAGUAUUAUGGUGCAAGUGAAAAAAAAAACUUUACAAUUAUGAGACGUAAAUGUAUUUUUCCCAAUUUUUACAACUAGCAACACUGUCAAUGUUGUAACCUACUAUAAUAUUAAUGAAAUAUUGAAAACUUUACUGAGGUGUAUAAUUUUUAGCACCAAUUAAUAAGGUGUUUUAUACGUACAUAUUUAAAAUGUACAGUCUAGUAUUUAAUUUCCGUACCAUUUCGUACCUUGUCACAGUUACAAUCAAUAUGAAAGUCGCUAUAGACCUCAUACUAUUGUCACUGUGACAAGGUACGGAAAUUGAAUUCCGUACAGUCAACAUCAGAAGUAGCUGGGUGAGGUGUACAUUAUAUUUCCAAAACUUUAUUGUUUAGAGAACAAAAGUUUGUGGAAAUCAUUUUGGAUACUUCGCUCGCUCAACUACUUUUGGAGCUUACAGUACAAAUUGUACAACUAUGAAAAAUGUUUGGCGAUUAAAUGAUACUAUUUUUUGCCCUCAGAAAAGUUUUUAGUAUUACCCUAAACAGCUUUCAAUGUUAUUCGAUAUAUAUAACGCUUACUACCACGGGCUUUAUUAGCCCGCAGCCCGUCCAGUCGAAGGAAAUGGUGUCUAACGCAAUGGGAAGAAGGUAUAUUUUUAAAUACUCCGGUUCGGCUUUUUUGACUAGGUUGCGGCAUUCGACUUAAGGGCUUGUAUUCAAAUUUCUAAAUAAUAAGGCUGUGUAUAGACGAGAUGAAGUUAGCCAAGUUUUUUACUAAAUAUACCAUAGACGACAACUUUUGAUGAGCUUAAUUGAAUAAGAAUUUGUGGCAUUAAGAAGUUGGCUUUUUGACAAUAUGACUAGCUAACACAAAACAAUUUGUCUAUGACGAAUGCUCGAUUAAGUUGCGCUUAAAAUUGAUAGUGAUAACAAAUCUAAUUGCUACAAAAUACAGUGGUGAAUGUCGAUAUUAAUCCAUACAACAGCCGAAUUUAUAUUUACAAUAUCGUGUUCAACCCCAUAGUAAGGGCCAGUUGCACCAACCACACUUAACAGACUGAUCAACAUAACUCAACAGAGUACUAUGAAAAUUCCCAUACAAUAAUAUUUUGCGAACGCUUUAAAGGUGGCUGACGGUUUGUUUCAACCGACCCUAAAAGUAGUUACUACCUUCAACUACAUAUUCAAUGUCCCAAUGCCUACGACGCCAUUUUGCAUUUUUUAAGAAGUUACUUUUUACGUCACGAAUUCUUGUUUGACUACUUCCGCACAUCUAUUAGUUUAGUUGUCUAUGAUUAAAAAACUACAAACGAUUUUAAACCUUAUAGUUUGAAAAUAUAAUCCGUUAUUGCUUAUACCGAUGAACAAAUAAUGAAAUCAUUGUACAAAAUAUGUUUACCAUUUUAUUACGUAGAACCUUUAUGUAUAUCUAGGUAUGUAAUGUAUAUGUUGCAAAUUAGUAGUACGUAGCUGGUAAUGUUUUUAAAUUAUUUAUAUACGGUUAUUUGGUAAAUGUACUAACACGAUUAAAAUUGUAUAGAUAUAGCUUUUCCGUCAAAUAUUUAUGGUAUUCUCAAUUGUUAGGACAGCUUAUAAAAUUUGAAUUUAUUUGUUGAUUACUUAGCUUAUUAAAUUUGGUAAGUAUCUAUAAUGGGAAAAUUGUAGGGUAGCGGCACUGUCUGUAUAUAAUUCUGAGAUUCUGACGAUAAACACUUGAUGACUCUUAAUUAUAAAUAAACCGUAAUUACCUAUAAAUACUGAACUAGACUACUUCAAUUCAAUUGUCGACCUAAUGCUUAUAAGACAAGGUUUAAAUUCGAAUGACAAGUAUACAAACGGCUUCCACUACAUUCUAAUACAAACAGUGCCAGUACUAAUGUUUACAACAUUUUAAAUGCACCUACCAAUUUACGUUACGCUGUAAUUCUUAUGAGUAGAUAUGUCGACGUCAUAAACCACAAAUAGUUUGCUAGUAAGUGCCAUUAUUUUUCAUGGCAAGCUAUGGUACGUAUUUGUGGUUUAAGCUGUUGAUUUACUAACGAGUAGCCUUCGACUUAGCCACGCAUAUAGUGAGUUGCUCAAAUAUAUCGGUUUCGAGCGAACCGGGCUGUCGUACGUGGUAAUUCCGGUAGAUAGUGUAAAAAUCAAUCAAUUAACGGUUUUAAUGAUGAAAAAAUUAAAAGAAACGUUUGUUUGCACUACAAUUAAAGGUUUACAUUGAUAAAUUUGUAUGCUAAAAGUCACACGUGUUUACAAUAGUUUUCACUAAGAUGCACAAAUUAUACAAUAACUUGCAAGUUGACAACAUACCGCAUUGAAGUUCAGCAAAUUUUAUUUUAUGAAUAAUAUAAUCCAAUAUAAUCUAAUCUUAUACUUAUGUAUAAUAAAAUGUUAAAAUGCGUUUACUGGUAACGAUUAUGUAAUCGAAUGUUACGUUUAAGUUCAAUCUUAAAUCUUUGAGAUGUUUUCGAUGAUUAUUUAAGUACUUUCCUUUUAUCGUCAAUGGCAUUUUGUUGAUUUUCUUUGUUAUUGAUUGGUAUGCUUUGACGUUUACUUGCCAAAAAUUACUAAUAUCGACCGAGGAAUUACUACGUAAGAUGACCCGUUGAAUAUAAUAUUUUCAUAAUUUCCAUAAUAGUUUGUUACAAUACAACGUGACGAUAUCAACUGGACCACGCUUAGUGUAGUGCCAUAGCGUCACUAUCUGGUGCAAGAUGUAGAAUGCAUUCAUUUCGUAUACUUCUUAAUGUAUUUACAAGUAGAUGGCAAUUCGGUUAUGAAAUAAGGCGUAAAUGUCGUUUAAAUGUGCCAAUUUAAUGAUCUAUCGUGAUGUUUAAAAUGCGUAAAUUCACCGUUCGUUCGUACAAAAACAUCUACGACCAAAACGGAUUGCAAACACAUCUGCAGCCGUAGCACGGUCGCAUUUUUAUCACCUGUCACCAUGCCUGUCACGUUCUAAGAAGUAUGUAAGUGCAAAAGUGACAGGCAUAGUGACAGGCGAUAAAAAUGGAACCAUGCUGCCACCGCUGAGUCGACAUCAAACAUAAUAUGUUUACACAGUCGCCUUAUUAUAGUUAUUAUAAAGGAAAGGUGCAAAAGCGUAAACAUAUCUUUGACGUCAACUGUACACAGCUUGACUGGUAGAGAAUUUCAAAUAAAUACGUCGAGUUCCUCAGUUAUUAAUGCAUAAUCGCUUCAAAGCCAAGGUUUUAAAGUAUUCUGCAUAAGUACAGUCGCCAUCAGAUAUAUCGGAGCGGCCGAGGUGCUCAAAGAUAUCGGAGCACGCACUCUAACGCCUUGACAAUAGAGGCGUGUUCAGAUAUUUGUGAGCACCUUGGCCGCUCGGAUAUAUCUGAUGGCGACUGUACUAAAGAAAAUGUACAAUAUAAGAAUGCGAAUCUUUCUGGCAUUUUCGAAAAUAUCAUAAGAAAAUUACGCCUUAUUUGCAUCAGAAUUGUGGUAUUAAUAAAAAUUCUUCGGUGCACUAUAAGGCUGUUUCUCCACUAAAUACCUACAAAUGAAAACUCAGAAAAUUAAUUAAUUAUAAUAAAGGCGUGUUUACAUUGAAUUGGUUUAAAUUUAGUAAGGUGGGGGCAGUUACUGUACUGUUGAGUUUGGAUACCUUUACAUAUACAAUCUCUGUCUUGAGAAACGCAGGGGGGGCUAGCCAAAAUGACAAUCGUUUGCAGAAAACAAAACGAAUCGCUAGGAUAAACGUAAGUAAUGAAUGGGAAUAAGUUUCAUUUCGUUUUCUGCAAAUGAGUGUCAUCUUGGCUAGCAUGAUCGACCUAUGAAACCUAUACCGCAAAUUAUAAGAAUCCCAAGGGUCUCUAGUGGAGAACCGGCAUUUGCCCGAAAUAAUAUAAAAUAUUUUAUUAUCUCUAGCUACUAACAAAUUUCCUAACAAGACAGCGACAUAGCAACUUAGUGCUGUUUAAAUGUAGUAGUUAUAUUUUUACGGUAGCAUAUAUUUACAUUUAAAUUAUAGAUCAUUCUGUACCUUUGGCGUGUAUGACGGCGUGAUAUAGACCUUACGUCUUGUUGUGAGAGUUGAAAAUACUUUGACGCCAAACGUAUUAGAACAGCAGUAUAUUAGGCAACACAUAAUGAAGCGGACAUUAGUGCUAACUCCUACCAUUCCUAGACAUAGACGUAGUGACAUAGCGAUAGCUCUUUAGAUAGAUUAAUUUUAGUUUUUUAUAAAGCGGGGUCAUAUUUUGAGCUAUCCAGUGUACACAUCUGGCUUAAAUAUCUUAAGGACCUUUUGCUCAGAAGUCCCUUAAAACUGAGUGAAUAAUCAUGUACCUUACCUUACACAGUAUAACAGACAAACCGUGUUUUAAAUCUGGCUUCCUUCCGUUUAUGGUUUGUCAUAAAGGAAUUUGUUUCAGACGUUAGGAUCUGUUCUGCGUCUGCAAACAAUAAGCUGUCAGAUCGUGUAGAAAAAACCUUUAAUUUAAUUAGUGUACAUACCCCGCUUAACGCGAUUGUUUGAUGAAAAUUUGGGCGAGUGUGCAAAUGCCCUAUAAUUGUGAUUUUAACUCGUUUUAGGAAUCGGUUGUUUCUUUUUUAGACGACGUUCGUGAUUUAAAUUUGUUUGAAUCUGUUGAUUGUGACUAUCGAAGUUAAAUAAACUGAUAUUUGUUUGAUUAUAUUUAUUAUUGAAUUAAUAUUUAUUAGCGAAUAGAGUUCUGUGUAUCACGUUAUCGAAAUUAUAAAGCAAAAGGUAAAAUCAAUUUUAUCUUACGGUAUGUAUGUACGAGUAAGUGCGCUUAUUCUUUGUCAACAAGGUGCUUUUGAACCCUUGACACCAUUGUGGUCACAAAGUUAUAUCAAACAUGUUUAUAGUUAGAAACAAAAUAUCGACUUGUAAUUGUCCAGUUACCUAUAAGGGCAUUCCACAAAAACGUCUGCUUUGUCGGGGACUUGACGCGUAUGUCAGCUUCUUUAAUAACCUGGAGAAAUCUGUAUUAACAUCGAAUUUAAAGCUAAAGUUAUCAAACGUUAUUAUGCCAAAUGAGUCGCUUAACUUCAAACUCGGGUAAAUCCAUCUGUCAGAUUAUGUGAAUUUGGUAUUAAGAAGAGGUAAUAUAGUAGAUAUUUGCUGAGAGGGUCGAAUGGAUUUACCAGUUUGAAGUUAAGCGACACAAAUAUCGGCUUCUUAAUUCUAUCAGAAGUGUCAAAAAAACCACGUACCCGACACUUUUCUGGAAUGCCCGUAUAGUCCGGUUGGCCGACCAUUUCAGGACUAAAAAGGACGCAAAUUUGGAAAUUUUUGGUAUGCAAGGUCAACUAAGAUAAGAUUUUGAAAUUUGGCCCUUUGUUAGUGAUAUACGUGGUUGGCAAGAAUAUCAGAGAUUGCGCGCGGCCUCUGUAACCUAUCAUUUUCCUCUGAAACAUUUAUUUAAACGAGCUUGCUUACAGGGCUAUUGGAUUAAUUACGAUAUACUAAUAUAAAUGUACUGAUUCCCAUAUCUUAAACGUAUCGCUGUGAUACUUGGGAGUCCACUUUCGCAUUUUUGUUUUACGCACAUUUUUUAUAAUGAUAAUGAUAAUUUUAAAGUCAAUUUUGCUUCUGCAAAAUGCGCUUAGAUCCUGGCUGGUACACCGUUAAAAAUCUAUUAAUUUUAAAUAUUGUUUAUUAACGGGUAUUAAUUAUUUAUAUAAUUAUUUGUAUUUUAAUUCAAUAAAAUUAUGUGAAAGUAUGUUCUGAUCUGACAUGUAAUAAUGUUUUUUUAGUUUUUAUUUAAAUGUAAGUAUUGACCAAGUAAUUAGUCAAAAGUGGCAAUGAAUACAAAGUUAAGAAAGUUUAGCCAUCCCUCUUUCACUUGGCAAAUAUUCGUAAAGAGUGUAGUUAAAUAUUUUCAACCAGUAUGUCAUAUGCACCUUUUGACUGGCGAAAUAAUAAUUUGCAACGGUGUUACUGGCCAGAAAUUUUUUCAUCACCCUUGCUUGUAAGAUGUAUUGCGACGUAUGCGUAGAGGGAGUAACAACUGGACUUACUCCCAAAGGCGUUUAUUAUAAUUUCGUCAAGAAGUCCAUUUUUUUUUGUUAUCAAGCAACCUAUAAAAAACUAAACAUGUGACUUGUGGUUAUAAAAGUUCAAUCAGACUAAAUUAAUGCCUGUCUUAAAGAUUUUUUACACAUUUUAUGAACGUAUGAACAAAAUAUUUAUCAGUACGGUUUUU